UAGAAGCCUGUUACUCACCAGUUGUCCCUGUAGAAUUUAGCUCUCUGGAAGAAAAAGAAAAAAAAAUGUAUCCCUUCCUAUAAAGGAAGAGAUAACUCUCUUUUCUCUCACUCCAAGACUUGCAAAACCACCAUCCCCACACUUCUCUAAAGGCUUGUGGCUUCGUGGAGAGGCACUAGAAAUGAACAAAACAGAGGGAAAAACACAGGCAGAAGGCUAUAUAGGAAAGUAAGAACCACAGAGCACUUUCUACACUUUAGAGUUGACACCUGCAGCACCAAUUAAGGACAUCCAAUGAUCUUAAGGACUUUUCUGCAAAAGAUUACAGACACAAAUGAGCAAGUCUUUCCACAGGAUCAUGCAUAAAUGAUUCCUUUAAGCAAUAAGCUUUCCAAGUGUGGGCUUCCAGAUGAUCUACAGGCCGGUCCAAACUUCAAAGACAACAUCUGUUCUUAUCUGUAUAAUCUCAGUGAGCACAAGAGAAAAAAGAAAGAAGAGAGUGAGGGAAGAGAAAGAACUGGUCCAUUUUGAUUGGCUUCUGAAAAUUCAUCGACUAAAGCUUGGAGCAACAAGGAGUGAUAGGGAUACUGUAGCUCACACAGAUCUCAGGAUCAUUUUUUAAAGCUUUUUUUGCUUGUUUGGUUUCAAGUGAAGACAAGUAGGGUGGUCUGGUUUGGCGUGGCUGGCUUUUGUAUUCCUUAUGUGAUUUGCACACCAAAAAAGUCUGAGAACCAUUGUCUUUGGAGAAAAAAAAUGAUUGAAUAGUUCAUACUCAGGGUUAUAGAUUCUAAAAAUAUAGAAUUAUACCUAGCAACAAUUUAUUAUUGUGUCUUUUAUUGAUUGGUUGAGCAUAUAUAUGACCAAAAGUGGCUCAAAGAAUUAAGAG